rnacentral:lncRNA from 1 species
CUAGUUUGAACACAUCAAAAUGUAAUAAGCUAUGUCUAGCACUGUAGCAAAUGUUGGCUUGACAUUGACCGUCCCAUCACUUGUGCGCUCCACUCAAACUCUAUCUUUCUCUUGAAAAAAUCAUUAACAUUGGUAUAUGCAUCAGGUAAACUGAAAUUGUAUUAUUUUAGCAACAACAGCAUGGACUGAACCAUUUUGAAGGU